UAGGGAAUCUUGGACAAUGGGCGAAAGCCUGAUCCAGCCAUGCCGCGUGAGUGAAGAAGGCCCUAGGGUUGUAAAGCUCUUUUGGCGGGGACGAUAAUGACGGUACCCGCAGAAUAAGCCCCGGCUAACUUCGUGCCAGCAGCCGCGGUAAUACGAAGGGGGCUAGCGUUGUUCGGAAUUACUGGGCGUAAAGCGCACGCAGGCGGAUUGGUAAGUUAGAGGUGAAAUCCCGGGGCUCAACCUCGGAAUUGCCUUUGAUACUGCCAGUCUUGAGUCCGGGAGAGGUGAGUGGAAUUCCUAGUGUAGAGGUGAAAUUCGUAGAUAUUAGGAAGAACACCAGUGGCGAAGGCGGCUCACUGGCCCGGAACUGACGCUCAGGUGCGAAAGCGUGGGGAGCAAACAGGAUUAGAUACCCCCGUAGUCC
rnacentral:rRNA from 1 species